GGUUAAGACUGACAUAUGAGGUUCCCUGAGUUGUACUUAUCCUCCAUCGUGUGUUCAUCACCGCCUCCAGCCGUGCUUCGAGUACGCGGCGUCCUUUGGCGGCGAGGAGGCCCGAGGCGAGGUGGCGCCUGCCGCCAGUCCCCAACCCCGUGCCUCUAGCCCCUUCUUCGCGCACGCGAUGAAACGGUCGCUGAUGUGGGAGAGGCCUUUAGUGACGAGGAGGCCCAGGGCGACACAGCCUGCAGUGGCGCUGGUGCUCCCAGUGCAACCACUCUAACGACGGCUAGAUCCAUUGUUCUUGUCGUCAUUGGGCUGGAUUGGUUGUCGCGCUCAUCGACCUAUGGGAGCUCCUUUUGGUCGACCCCCUCGUCUGUUCAUUGUUGGAUCUGUGGCAGCCUUCAUGUCUUCGUCCAGGGACUUACAGGAGUGCACUUUGGCUGGAUCCUACUCCCUCCGUCCGGAAAUACUUGUCAUCGAAAUGAAUAAAAGGAGAUGUAUCUAGACAUAUUUUAGUUCUAGAUACAUCCCUUUUUGUCCAUUUUGAUGACAAGUAUUUUCGGACGGAGGGAGUACUAGGGAUGAAUUUUUUAACUCGCUGACAUGCAUCCGGAGAGAAUAUUGAUGGCUAGGGUUGAUUGUGCAACGAAGAUGGCAAAAAAAUCAGGUACUUCUGAAUGUCGGUGGACCAGAUAGGGUUUCAAAAUUACAGAUGGCUGAGUCUGUUGCUGAAGUUCGUGGAUACAACAAGUCGAUAAUCAAAUCUGUGCCUGCAGCAUCGGUUAAUCAGGGUGUAGCUUCACCGUCAGACAUAUCCAUGAAUAUCACCAAAGCUAACUGAAAAGCUCGAUAUCCAGCCGCUUACAUUCCUGGUUGGAGUCAGAGCUAUACACUUGACGCAGAAGCCAGUACAUGAUAUUUAUAGUUUGUUCAAGUUCCUCCACAAAAUAUCGAAGUGUGACUAAGCGCAUGAAGAUUAUGCCUUCUUCAAUGCCAUAUUAUGCUGACAAUUUUGAGGAACAAGCUGUAGAAGAGAGUAUCUGCUCAUAAUAGAGAUCCGCCUCCCUGUGACGAGGAGUUCAUUAUUUAAGUAGUUGUGCAUGCCAUUUUCAGACCAGGAGCAGCUGCAGGCUAUCACAGAACCAGUUCUAUCAUUUGUUCUGCAAUGAAGUAGGCACACUCCACAAUCUCAGUUCCUACUCUUUGUUAUGCGCUGAGAGGAGGGAAGAAGGACAAUGCGGUCGCAGCCCUAUCCGCACCCUUCCCACCUGAUUCACCCGCAGCACGCCAUGCAGGUGGCACUUUUGCUUGUGUCUUGUUUUCUUUUCGAAAUGGUGAAGCUGACAAUGAUAGCUUGUAUCACUGAUGGCCUACAAUUGACGGAGUGCUUAGAUGGUGGUUAUGUGAAGGAUGUUGUCUUCUACAAGCAGCAAGCAAAAUUGUUGUUCAAAAACAUAUCUAAAGACCAGCAUGAACCAUCAAGACUAUCAACUGAGACUGGACCAUACCGUUUCCAGGUCAGGGUAUGUAUUUACAGUACAUCAUACAUUUUUUGCUUUCAGCAAGAUGAGGAUAAUGUGACUGUUUGUGUGCGUGUGUGCUAUAUGAUACAUUUUCGCUUUCGUCAAGAUGAGGAUACUGUGACUAUUUGUGUGCGUGCGUGCGUGCUAUAUGAUACAUUUUUUGGCCAUAAUCAAGAUGAGGAUACUUGACUGUUUGUGUGGGUGCUUUAGUGGUUCUAGGUUAUUGUAGUAGUAUAACUUGGCUUCGUUUACACAAAAUCCAAAUAGAAUUUAGUUUGGAGCUGGUCAAGACAUGGUGUAGUAUUUAUAACCUAUUAAUUUGGUUGGACUGGUCAAGUGUUCUAUCAAUUCUUGCUGCAGUAUUUAUUCUGUAGUAUGUACUAGCUCUUAGACAAGAUAAUUGUUUAGCCCCUGAUUUCUUAGCUACUGGUUGGUCCUGUAAGGCUACAUCCUUGCUUUCUGAUUAGUGUUAUUUGAAUCUAUAGCAGUGGAUAUGCAUAGAAGAUCCGCUAAUUCGGGUUUUUUGCCUUUAUUUAUCAUGUGAUGGCCGUUGUCGGAGCUUUGCCGCCUUCAUCUCGACUCCGUCGAGGUUCCAGGUUCAUGCUUCACCGCUCUCCCCACCGGUGAUUUGCGGCGGCUGCGGGGUCUUCCCCUGCUUUGGUGGUGGCUGGCAGGCGUUCGCCCGGCCAGAUCUGGCGCGGAGCAGGACCUGUGAUGCAUGGCCUGGUUUACGAGGGCAGGGGACACAUGGGUCCUUGGUCCGGCAGCAUCGGCGGGACGCUGUGCGCCCGUCUGCUUUCUUGCUAGAUACGUGUUUGGGAAAAAUCUACAAUACUCCUUCGAGGUUUACACAUCAAUUGCAAAGGGUUUUCGGAAUGCAUCACUAUAUUGAUUUUGGUUUAUACAUGAAUUGCAGAGAGUUUUAGAAAAGUAUCAUAUUGUUUUGGGUUUAUAUACGAAUUGUAAAAUGUUUUAAGCAUGUGAAAAUCAGAGCUCAUGCGGCAGGUGAUUUUUUUCUUGCUUCUAAUGCUACGAUGAUGUUAUGUAUACUAAAAAGGACUCGUGCACACUUGCUUUGCUCCCUACUGUUUAUGAUCAGUUGCC